UUGAACGCUGGCGGCAUGCUUUACCCCUGCAAGUCGAACGGCAGCGCGGGCUUCGGCCUGGCGGCGAGUGGCGAACGGGUGGUAAAUACAUCGGAACGUGCCCAGUAGGGGGGGAUAGCCGGGCGAAAGCCGGAUAAUAACCCCAACCGCCUGGGGGGGAAAAGCGGGGGAUCUUGGGCCCUCGCGCUUUUGGCGCGCCGGAUGGCAGAUUAGCUAGUUGGUGGGGUAAAGGCCUACCAAGGCGACGAUCUGUAGCUGGUCUGAGAGGACGACCAGCCACACUGGGACUGAGACACGGCCCAGACUCCUACGGGAGGCAGCAGUGGGGAAUUUUGGACAAUGGGCGAAAGCCUGAUCCAGCAAUGCCGCGUGUGUGAUGAAGGCCUUCGGGUUGUAAAGCACUUUUGGCGGGAACGAAAAGGACUGUGCCAAUACCACGGUUCGAUGACGGUACCCGCAGAAUAAGCACCGGCUAACUACGUG
rnacentral:rRNA from 1 species